UACGUAGGGGGCUAGCGUUGUCCGGAAUCAUUGGGCGUAAAGAGCGUGUAGGCGGCUUGGUAAGUCCGCUGUGAAAGUCCAGGGCUCAACCCCUGGAAAGCCAGUGGAAACUGUCAAGCUAGAGUCCGGAAGAGGCGAGUGGAACUCCUAGUGUAGCGGUGAAAUGCGCAGAUAAUCAGGAAGAACACCCGUGGCGAAAGCGGCUCUCUGGAACGGUACUGACGCUGAGACGCGAAAGCGUGGGGAGC
rnacentral:rRNA from 1 species